UCUACCAGCAGCUCAUGGAGAGUGCUUCAGCACCACAGACCCCAUCCUACGCCACCGCCUUGCCCCACUGGGCAGCUAUGACAGCUAGGAUCUUAUCCUAUAUUUUAUUUUCUUCUGAUGACAGCUGUGAUCACCACUGUUGGCUCCAAUUUAUGAUUUCAACCAAUAAAACAAGAAUGGAGGACUGAGGAGAAGCUCACACCUCAGACUCUUCAAAUUUUCAUGAUUGUUUUAAAAAUUGGAAGGUUGGAAUUUUGAGAUUGAAGGACAUCUGACCUGUGAGCAUGAAGCUUUCAUGAAGGAUCUGUCUCUCAAGGAAACACCAGGCUUUCACAAGUUUGACGGUGUUGAGAGCAAGGAGUGUUCCUUCUAGUGACAGUAGCAUUAUGCCCAGAUAUCGCAACUGGUUGUACACUGGCCUCUCAAAAUAACAGCAAGCACAUGAAGGAAUUUGGCCUUCCAGUGUUUCUCCAGAGAUGUUGUCUGUAAAUUAUCCCAGAGAAGACUCCGCGGCUCAAAGUAGUUAGCCUGUAGUCUCACAUGUUUUAAAAAUGAGAUCUGAGCAUAUCUUACGUAGAUUGCAUAGCUUCAGGAUAUACAGGAACAUUGCUUAAUUAUGUGAUGGACUCAUGCCAAGACUCUCCCUUCUUUCUGCCACUCCAAAUCUGAAUAGAUACUUCAGAUCUCUCACUGUGGGUGAGUGUUGUAGCCUCCCAUGCUUAUAUAAAAGG